AGAGUUUGAUCCUGGCUCAGGACGAACGCUGGCGGCGUGCCUAAUACAUGCAAGUCGUACGCACUGGCCCAACUGAUUGAUGGUGCUUGCACCUGAUUGACGAUGGAUCACCAGUGAGUGGCGGACGGGUGAGUAACACGUAGGUAACCUGCCCCGG
rnacentral:rRNA from 1 species